rnacentral:rRNA from 1 species
AUCGGAACGUGCCCAAUCGUGGGGGAUAACGCAGCGAAAGCUGUGCUAAUACCGCAUACGAUCUACGGAUGAAAGCAGGGGAUCGCAAGACCUUGCGCGAAUGGAGCGGCCGAUGGCAGAUUAGGUAGUUGGUGAGGUAAAGGCUCACCAAGCCUUCGAUCUGUAGCUGGUCUGAGAGGACGACCAGCCACACUGGGACUGAGACACGGCCCAGACUCCUACGGGAGGCAGCAGUGGGGAAUUUUGGACAAUGGGCGAAAGCCUGAUCCAGCCAUGCCGCGUGCAGGAUGAAGGCCUUCGGGUUGUAAACUGCUUUUGUACGGAACGAAAAGGUCUCUUCUAAUACAGGGGGCCCAUGACGGUACCGUAAGAAUAAGCACCGGCUAACUACGUGCCAGCAGCCGCGGUAAUACGUAGGGUG